rnacentral:rRNA from 1 species
CACGUAGGUGACCAGCGUCGUUCGGAAUUACUGGGCGUAAAGGGCUCGUAGGCGGCCAACUAAGUCAGACGUGAAAUCCCUCGGCUUAACCGGGGAACUGCAUCUGAUACUGGAUGGCUCGAGUUUGGGAGAGGGAUGCGGAAUUCCAGGUGUAGCGGUGAAAUGCGUAGAUAUCUGGAGGAACACCGGUGGCGAAGGCGGCAUCCUGGACCAACACUGACGCUGAUGAGCGAAAGCCAGGGGAGCAAACGGG